rnacentral:rRNA from 1 species
AUUAAUUCGAUGCAACGCGAAAACCUUACCUACCUUGACAUGUCUGGAAUCUUGGUGAGAGCCGAGGUGCUUCGGGAGCCAGAACACAGGUGCUGCAUGGCUGUCGUCAGCUCGUGUCGUGAGAUGUUGGGUUAAGUCCCGCAACGAGCGCAACCCUUGUCACUAGUUGCCAUCAUUUGGUUGGGCACUCUAGUGAGACUGCCGGUGACAAACCGGAGGAAGGUGGGGAUGACGUCAAGUCCUCAUGGCCCUUAUGGGUAGGGCUUCACACGUCAUACAAUGGUCGGUACAGAGGGUUGCCAAGCCGCGAGGUGGAGCCAAUCCCUUAAAGCCGAUCGUAGUCCGGAUCGUAGUCUGCAACUCGACUGCAUGAAGCCGGAGUUGCUAGUAACCGCAGGUCAGCAAUACUGCGGUGAAUACGUUCCCGGGUCUU